AUUGAACGCUGGCGGCAGGCCUAACACAUGCAAGUCGAACGAGUGGCGGACGGGUGAGUAAUGUCUGGGAAACUGCCUGAUGGAGGGGGAUAACUACUGGAAACGGUAGCUAAUACCGCAUACCAUCAGAUGUGCCCAGAUGUGAUUAGCUAGUGGGUGGGGUAACGGCUCACCAAGGCGACGAUCCCUAGCUGGUCUGAGAGGAUGACCAGCCACACUGGAACUGAGACACGGUCCAGACUCCUACGGGAGGCAGAAGUGGGGAAGAUUGCACAAGGGGGGAAAGCCUGAUGCAGCCAGGCCGCGGGUAUGAAGAAGGCCUUGGGGUUGUAAAGUUCUUUCAGCGGGGAGGCGGUACCCGCAGAAGAAGCACCGGCUAACUCCGUGCCAGCAGCCGCGGUAAUAC
rnacentral:rRNA from 1 species